GCUAGUGUGCUGUAGUGGAAAGGAGCAGGGCUCAUAACCCAAAGGUUCCUGGUUCGAUUCCUCACUGAGGCA